CGUUUAGUGGCGAACGGGUGAGUAAUACAUAGGUAACCUACCCUUAAGACGAGGAUAGCCAUUGGAAACGAUGGAUAAAACUGGAUAGGAUAUAGAGGAAGAAUCUUUUAUAUUUAAAAGAGAGAUCUGCUUAAGGAGGGGCCUGUGGCGCAUUAGCUAGUUGGUGGGGUAAGGGCCUACCAAGGCGAUGAUGCGUAGCCGGACUGAGGGGUUGAACGGCCACAAUGGAACUGAGAACGGUCCAUACUCCUACGGAAGGCAGCAG
rnacentral:rRNA from 1 species